rnacentral:rRNA from 1 species
GACGAACGCUGGCGGCGUGCUUAACACAUGCAAGUCGAACGCUGAAGCUGGGUGCUUGCACUGGGUGGAUGAGUGGCGAACGGGUGAGUAAUACGUGAGUAACCUGCCCUUGACUCUGGGAUAAGCCUGGGAAACUGGGUCUAAUACUGUAUACGUCAUGCCACUGCAUGAUGGUGUGUGGAAAGGGUUUUACUGGUUUUGGAUGGGCUCACGGCCUAUCAGCUUGUUGGUGGGGUAAUGGCCUACCAAGGCGACGACGGGUAGCCGGCCUGAGAGGGUGACAGGCCACACUGGGACUGAGACACGGGCCAGACUCCUACGGGAGGCAGCAGUGGGGAAUAUUGCGCAAUGGGCGGAAGCCUGAUGCAGCGACGCCGCGUGAGGGAUGACGGCCUUCGGGUUGUAAACCUCUUUCAGCACGGAAGAAGCGAGAGUGACGGUACGUGCAGAAGAAGCGCCGGCUAACUACGUG